GUAGGUGAACCUGCGGAAGGAUCAUUAAAAGAGAAUUUAGUUUCUGAGAGAAAUCAAAGAACUAAAAUCCCAACCCUUGUUUAUAUACAAAAAAAUUUAUUGUUGCUUCGGCGAAUUGAUUAAUUUCGUCGCCAGAAGAAACCCCAAACCAAACUCUUGUUUAAAAUAUAAUGUCUGAAUUAUUUGAAAUAGGAUAAAACCUAUUAGAAUUAAAAUUACAACUUUCAACAACGGAUCUCUUGGUUCUGGC
rnacentral:misc_RNA from 1 species